UACGUAGGGUGCGAGCGUUAAUCGGAAUUACUGGGCGUAAAGUGUGCGCAGGCGGCAGAGCAAGUCGAGUGUGAAAGCCCCGGGCUUAACUUGGGAAUUGCACUCGAAACUACUUUGCUGGAGUGUGGCAGAGGAAGGUGGAAUUCCACGUGUAGCGGUGAAAUGCGUAGAGAGUGUGGAGGAACACCAAUGGCGAAGGCAAUCCCUGGCCUGCACUGACGCUCAUGCACGAAGCGUGGGGAGCAAACAGGA
rnacentral:rRNA from 1 species